ACAGAAAAUAAAUGUUGUUUCUCCUCAGACCAGCCGGUCAGUGAAUACUUUAAAAUAGCCAAUCAGUAGGAUUUCUCAUUAAGCGCAGCUCUGCAUUCAUGCAGCUUCCAAGGCGAGGUCACAGCUGGCAGAGUUCAGGUUGGUAAUGUGAAUAUUCUCCAGUGAGACGAAGGACAGCCGAUGCUUUUUGGGUCAGACGCACUAAAACAGGACAAGAAGAAGAAAAAUGUUUUUAUUGUGACACAUGAACCAAAUCUGCAGAUUAUCUGUGAAAACAGUAACAUUUUAAACAAAAAUAAGAUAUUCUUAAAGUUCCAUGAAUGGAUUUUAACCACCAACCAUCCAUGAAGGAGAGGACUUUGUCUGGAAGUUGUGUUGGACUUUCUGACCUGCAGGGCGGCGCUGUCAGAGCUGCUGCUCCCACUCUGAACACCUGACAGUGUUUCCGUGACAACGGGUGACAUUAAGAUGGCGGCCAGAUGUUUGUGACCCGAGGCUCCUGAGGCAAACUGACCGGCCGACACCUGGCUCUCGGUUCAUCCGUUUUCUCUUCAGACCUGCAGAAACAUUUCAGAGCAACGCUCAGCGAACCGGCAUGCAGCGUCUGGACGUCGUCCUUCCACUCAGUGAAACACGAAGCUGCAUCUCAGAUUAUUUCAGCCUAUUUAAAGUGGAGAACUUUUUGUUUUAACAUGUUCUGAUCCAUAAUUACAGAGCUAAAUUCGGCCAUAAAGCAUGUUCAAAACAUUUUGUCAACUGAAGGAAAGAAAAAUUUGUAGUUGAAAAAAAUUUUUAAACAAAAAAUAAAAGAAAUUGGAAAUGAAAAAAUUAAAACAAAAUUAAUUGAAACUUUAAAAAAUUAAAAACUCUUUUUGAAACUGGAAAUGGCUUUAAAACAUUAAUAUUGUGUUUAAUCAAUAGAUUUUCAAAACCUGUCACUGAGGAACAUUUUGAACAAAUUUAUGGCCCCAGUUUAGCUCCAUACAUUAUGGUCCUAUGACCACUGCAAAGCAUCAUGGGUAAUAAAGUGACUAGCUGUGCUCAUGAUGAGGUAGCCGUCUUGUUUUUAUGAUCUAAUCGUUUUAAUGCAGAAUAAAACAUUUUAGUGUCAAACUGGGUUUAUUCUGAAUCCGCCUCAGAUUCCAGUUCAUAUUUCUCUCGUUUUUUCUGGUUCCUGUUUUCACGUCUUCCUCUCUGGUUUCCCGCAGCUUCGUGGCUCCUUUGCUUUGGUUUCCUAAUUUUCCAUUAAGUCUCAGUUCCAGUCUCAAUAAACAUCGGUAAAUAUA